rnacentral:rRNA from 1 species
GGUAGUGUAGUUAUAGCUGCAUUAUUUGUACGUUAGCGACAGAAGAAGCACCGGCUAACUCCGUGCCAGCAGCCGCGGUAAUACGGAGGGUGCGAGCGUUAAUCGGAAUUACUGGGCGUAAAGCGCAUGCAGGUGGUUUGUUAAGUUCAGAUGUGAAAGACCCGGGGCGUCAACCUCGGAAUAGCAUUUGAAACUGGCAGACUAGAGUACUGUAGAGGGGGGUAGGAAUUUCAGGUGUAGCGGUGAAAUGCGUAGAGAUCUGAAGGAAUACCGGUGGCGAAGGCGGCCCCCUCGGACAGAUACUGACACUCAGAUGCGAAAGCGUGGGGAGCAAACAGGAUUAGAUACCCUGGUAG